rnacentral:tRNA from 5 species
GCGUGAUUGAUGGAAUGGGCAUACAUACCGUCCUUAGAAGUCGGGUUUUGAGGGUUCGAAUCCCUUGUCACGCACCA